GGCGUGUCAAAAAGUAAAAACCUUGCGACUGUGCAUGCAUUGUGCAAUUUCUUGAUAAUAAAUCACUUCAAAACAAGAGAAACGACAACAAAUAUCGCCCGGAGUAGUUUUUGCCGCCCAAAAUGGGUUUACCAUACAACGCGAUACCGGAGGAUACGCUGCCACAGUGUUGGUCCGACGAUGUUCGUAUGAACGCCCUUUUCGCACCUUUUCGGAUAAAAUCAGCGAACCCAGAGUCAUGGGAUAUGAAGAUGAAGUUCUGGUCUGACAUGCUGAGGCAGUGGUGCAAGUAUAAAAGGGACCCUAUAGUGUCUGCGAGCGACGCUAAAUUCGCGUUUCAACGAAAAGGUCGCACGCCCGCUUGCAUCGAUAUUGUCGUCGAGGAGUUGUUUCGCAACGGUGAACUAUCCCCAAUAUCGAAGUAUCAGCAGAUACUCCACAACCCUGCUGAGGGCUGGGUACGUUGGACGGCCCGCCUGGCUUUCAAGCCGGCCGCACUAGCUCUCACUGCUGUGACGUCAUUGCUGCCUGCCACACAAAGUCUUGAUAGCGACGGGCUGCCUAAAGCCAGCAUUGAUUCUACGAGUAGAUUUGUGCUUGAGAGCGCUGUGCAGGAACAAGCAACACAAAUGCUAGAGAACUACCCACUGGGCGUGGAGCGUGUCGGCACCAUUGAGGAGUUGAUGAGGAAUUGCAACUGGCAGCAAAGUAGGGAGACCUUCGAAAUACUGGUCGGCUGGUUGGUAGCCACCGGAGCUGCCACCAAGAAGGGCGAUGUUGUUAAACUUGCGGAACCAAACAAGAAAGUGUCGCCGGUAACGGAGACAGACGAGGCUUUGGUGAAGCUGGUGUCAGCCGAGUCGAGGCUGUGCGGCGACGCGGCGCGGCUGUCGCGAGAGGUCGCCAGCUGCGAGGCGGAGGCCAGGGCCGCCCUCACACUCGGGAACAGGAUUGCGGCGAAGAACCAUCUCCGCCGGAAACACAGGGCGCAACAGAAGUUGGAACAGUGCGAGGGCGCGCUCGAGAACGUGCAGCAGCUGCUGCAUCAGAUACGAGACGUGGACACCAACGCUGCCAUCGUCAACACUUACAAGACGACAUCAGAAGCCAUGAAGCGGGGUAUGAAGGAAGGUGGUCUCGACGAAGAUGCUGUCCACGACACCAUGGAUGACCUUAACGAUGUAAUGGAGUCCUACAAAGAAGUGGAGAGGGCACUCAGCACGACCACAGAUGACCUGGACGCGGCGGAGCUGGAGGCCGAGCUGAGGGAACUGAUGUCACCCGGAGCCCCAGGAGGAGGGGGGGCGCCGGCUAAGGAGACCACGCCACGGAAGGCCCAAGAACCGUCGCCACUCCUGCCGACGCCGCCGAAGCAUCAACCCCGCAAGGUGUCGGAGCGUGAUGACUUCGUGUUCGACGGGGAAGCACGCGUGAUAGCGGAACUGAACGAGCUCAGUGUGGGGGACGCGCAGGGCGGCUCGGGGGGCAGGGGGCUCGAUAAGCGGGGGAGGAAGAAGAUAGCCGUCACCGAACAAUGGGUUGAUGCAGAAAAACCUGAGCCGAAGACUCCGAAACCAUCGAAGUCGUGGUACCCUCCUACGAAGGAGUGUCUGCAACCAGAGACUUGGAACAACAAUGACUUCGGAGAACUCAGGCAGGACGAGCGGUUACACCCCGGCCAACCGCUGAACGUGGACUUCACGACGCCGCCGCGGCUCUACAGCAGCGAUUUCCAGGUGCGCGACCACAAGCCCUGCGCCGGCGUGUGGCUUUACAGCACCCGCGACAACAACAGCAACGUCGACGACCUCGCCGCCAGCACAGAGUACUUCAGCUCGGAGAGCCCGGGCAAGUCAGGCGGCAGCUUCCAGAUGGCGCCCGGCGGCGAGCGCAAGGCGUCCGCCGCGUGGAACGCCGACGGAGACGCGCCCGUCGACGACCUGGAGCGGCGCCUGCGCAACCUGCGCGGAUUCAACUUAUAAUACCCGCACGGGUAACAUAGGUUAUGCUAAGUACGUAGGAAACUAGGUUAGGUUCAAAAUUGGUCCUUAUUCCGGCGACACAAAGAUUAUCUUAGUUUGUUAGUUGUAAACUAGAGCUGUCUUUCACUUAUAAGUGAUAUUAAGUGGCGGAUUGAGACUUUCCGAGGUCUUCUGUUGCUUGAAUUUGGAAGAUAGGAAUCCUUACUAAUGUUAUAAAUGUGAAAGUGUGUUUGUUAUUUCUCGUCUGUUGAACAAAUUUGUUAUAGUUCGGUUUGAGUAUACAACCUGGGUAUCUACCCAGGUUCUAUCUAGAAAACAAAGAUCUUUGUAAAAGUAUAUUAUGAACCUUAUGAUGAUAAGGGAUCAGCCUUUCGCCCAUAACAUAGUUCAUCAUGUUAGAGGACACAAUCCCUGUGUUGGAUUUUGUUGGCCGCCAAAGAAAAAAAAAUAUAAAUGCGCAACAGGCGCCUUACUGUCACAAUAUGUGAAAGACAGAUAGAGCUAGUUUUCGAACACAAACUAAGUUAGGGGCCGUCCAUUAAUCAUGUGAUGUUUUUUUUGGCAUUUUAAACCCCCCCCCCACCCCCUUGGUGAUACAUGGUGAGGUUCAAGACUACCCCCCACCCUAUCCGAUAUCACGCGUGUAUUUUUUAGUACCUACCAAAAUAAUUGCACGAAACGCCGCUUUUCGGUUCAGUAUCGCGCGUUUGCCGAAAAAUAAAUACAUAAACAGCCUAUAUACGUCCCACUGCUGGGCACAGGCCUCCCCUCAAUCAACCGGAGGGGAUAUGGAGCAUACUGCACCACGCUGCUCCAAUGCGGGUUGGUGGAGGUGUUUUUACGGCUAAUAGCCGGGACCAACGGCUUAACGUGCCCUCCGAAGCACGGAAUCAUCUUACUUUUUCGCACAAUCAGGUGAUUCAAGCCUGAAAAGUCCUUACCAAACAAAGGACAGUCUCACAAAGUGAUUUCGACAAUGUCCCCAUCGGGAAUCGAACCCGGACCUCCAGAUCGUGAGCCUAACGCUCUAACCACUAGACCACGGAGGCUGUCAAUGUCGAAAAAUAAAUACUCGUGAUAUAUUACUACACCCCCCCUCCCCCUUAUGAUAUUUCGUGAUUUUUUUGAUGGACUCUUCCCCCCCUCUCGAGCCUCGCAUGAUUAAUGGACGGCCCCUUAGAAUUAUGUCGGCCGGAAUAGGCGCCAUUAUGUGAUAUUGCCGGACAUAGAUGGCGGAGAUGCUGAUAAUGUUCUAUCUUAAGACGCACAGGAUUGCGAGAGAGGAUAUCGUCACUACAUACAUACGUGCACGCCCGUAGUUCCUAAUAGAGUGGGCAGAGUAACAAGUAAUCAGAUACAAUGUUUUAAGUUUACGCGGUAAUUAUCAUAAUUAAAACACAAGCGGCAAAGAAAGAGGGUAGACAGAUAUGUUUGCCUGUAGAAAAUUAUGGAUCUAACUACUCCACUCCAAUCUCAUCAGUCAUCCCGUGAUCAUGGCACUUGCAACAGUGUCGAAACACCGGGAGUCUGAUAUCCCUGCUUUAAACGCGGUAAGAUCCCGUUAUUAUGUGUUUUAAUUAAUCAGAUACAACUUAUACGAUGAAUCUAAAAACACAUCACAAGUUUUAUCUUAUACUACGUAUAGGACAGUAACAAUUCGCCCCACACCAAUUCGUAAGCGCCGACCUCACCCCCUCUGGGUCUUACUUUAGUCUUAAAUGGUUGGAACCAACAGCCUCCGUGGUGUGGUGGUUAACAGCCUCCGUGGUCUAGUGGUUAGAGCGUUAGGCUCACGAUCUGGAGGUCCGGGUUCGAUUCCCGAUGGGGACAUUGUCGAAAUCACUUUGUG
rnacentral:misc_RNA from 1 species